UACGGGGGGAGCAAGCGUUGUUCGGAUUUACUGGGCGUAAAGGGCGCGUAGGCGGCCACCGCAAGUCGACUGUGAAAUCUCCGGGCUUAACCCGGAAAGGUCAGCCGAUACUGCGGGGCUAGAGUGCAGAGGGGGCAACUGGAAUUCCCGGUGUAGUGGUGGAAUGCGUAGAUAUCGGGAGGAACACCAGUGGCGAAGGCGGCUUCCUGGACCUGUUCUGACACUGAGGAGCGAAAGCGUGGGGAGCGAUCCGG
rnacentral:rRNA from 1 species